GUGAAUACACGUCCUAUCGUAUCUGGCGUCCUACCUACGCUCGCGCCUAGUGUACUCGCCUACCUCCCCAUCCACUACCCCGUGACCAGGCUGCCCCAUCCACCCAAGCCGGAUGCGAUUCAAAAUUCGACGCAGCUGCAGCUGCAUCGACCGGCGGAACCACGUCCUCCCCAUCGCCAGGCCUGGAUCUCAAGAUUUCUUCAUGAUUCACCAAUGAAUCUCGGUGGGGAGUCAUCACGGAUCUCCUGUUCAGAUCUGGCAUUGGUGAAUCAAGGGGAGGAGGACGACGAUUGUGGGGGUGGAGGGAUGGCGUUACCGAUUCUCCUUCACCGAGAUUCUGCAUCUCAAGUUCAUGUCCCAGAUAUUGACUACACCGACAGUCACAGAGAACCCCCAUCUGAAUCGCAACACACUCCAACUCCGUGGCCUCAAAGGUUUUUAUACUGUCAAUAUUGGCAUCGGCAUGUGCAUUAAGACAAUUUUAUGAGCAGCAUACCUAUUGAUGCUACACAGUUUUUUAUUUUGGAGCAUUGGUUGUUACAUAUAUCUACGCAUACGGUAUUCAAAACACUGCAACUACUUCUGAAUCAAAGGUCCGACUUGGCAAGAUACACGACCGCCGCGCCUCAUUAUCGGGAAGGAAAAGUGCUUUGGAGAAGGCCAUGAGAAAUUAUACAGAUCGGGUAAAGCCUACAAUCUCUCGUGCGGUGUCUGUGGACAGUUUUUGUUCAUAACCCUUGGAGUGUGUCCCAGAUCGGAGAUCGCCAGAGGAGGAAGACGGCGGCGAGUGUUCCUCCACGUCGCUUCUUCGUCCUCAAGCCAAGAUGGAGAGAAAUCUGCUAGUGACGCAGAAUCUGAAGUUCUGGAGGCCAUGCCAGACUUCUAGCCUUCCAACUCCGUGGCUGGGAAGGGUGGCUUGGGUUACAAGAUCAGGCUGCAACUGAACUGCAUGACCAAGAUAUGCCUGUCAUACCAGGAGCAACUAUUCUACCAAGCUCAAUGAAUGUAGUACCACGCAAGAGGGGUCUAAGUAGGCUAAUGAACGCAAGAGCAAAGCUAGAUUAUGAGAAUGUCAGCAAGGGAAGAUCAAAGUUUUGUUCUAUUUGCAUAGGUAAGGGCCACAUCACAUCGUGAUACCCCUCAAAGGGAGGUCUAACAAAGACACAAAGGAAAGUCCCAAAGUGUACUAAGUGCGGCCUUUCAGGCCAUGAGAGAAUUUCGUGCUCGAUAAGAAUGUUCAUUUUGUUGUUGGAAGAUGAAAUUGGUGUUACGAAAGAUGUUGUAAGCUUUCUUUUGUUGUGCUGUUUCGAAAGAUGAAAUUGGUGUUGUAGGUGUUCUUUUGUUGUCGGAAAUUAGGUUCAUUUUUGUGGCCAAGUAGUGAAUAUGUAAUUUCGGAAAUGUUAUGAGGAUGUGUAAAGUUAGCCGCGGUACUUAUUUCAGUACAAGUGCAACUCAAAUUGAACCUUUGAUGUUCA